AGAACCAGGGAAGCUGACUGUGUAACUCCUAGUUGAGUGUGAAGACCUGAGGUAUCAGGGGUAGGGGUUGCUCUGCUUGUGUAAGUCCCAUAGUGUGAAGGCCAGAGAACCAAGAGAUGGUCAAGAAGAGAGAGAGCAUCACGACCUGUGCAGACUCCCCAGCAUCAUAACAGGAAGGUCCCACGAUCACGAGCACAUUGCCUUCAGCAUCCAGCACUGAAUAUGGUGAAUUGCACUCUGAAGAGCUUCCUAAGCUUGUAAGAAAGUGAUUCUGAAAAGCUCAACAUUUUGGUAGAAUGGAGAGAUUUGACAUUGCUUCUGCUCCAAAAGCAAAAGACUUGGGUGACUGCAGCAAGAGAUGUCCAGAGUCUCAACAUUGGGUGAUUGAAGAGCAGAAAGACUGGCAUGAAAUAUCUGUCAACAUAGCUCAACAAGGAAUCAGGAAGAGAGAGUCUUCAAGAUGGCUGACUAGAGGCAUCUGGUACUUGCCUCCUCCACAAAGAAGAACCAAAAUAGCAAGUAUAUUAUUACACUUCGAAUAGAUCAUCUAAGAAAGAACACUGGAAUUCAACCAAGAAGUGGCAAUAAAUACCUAAGGCAAGGAA
rnacentral:lncRNA from 1 species